rnacentral:rRNA from 1 species
CCCCUAGACGUUCUGGGCUGCACGCGCGCUACAAUAAUACGCACAGCGAGUAUCACCGAGCUCGAAAGGGCAAGGUAAACAAUAGAAAAGGUACUGUAAUGGUUAUAGAUCCUUGUAAUUAUUGAUCUUCAACGAGGAAUUCCUAGUAAGUAUGUGUCAUCAUCACGCACUGAUUACGUCCCUGCCCUUUGUACACACCGCCCGUCGCUCCUACCGAUUGGGUUAGCCGAUGAAACUCUCGGAUGUAGGCUAUUCAUAGCCCGCAGAAGAGAUUUGAAUCGUAGCGCUUAGAGGAAGGAGAAGUCGUAACA